rnacentral:rRNA from 1 species
AGUGAACGCUGGCGGUAGGCCUAACACAUGCAAGUCGAGCGGCAGCACAGUAAGAGCUCGCUCUUACGGCUGGCGAGUGGCGGGUGAGUGAGGGGUACAUCGCAAUCUACUUUUUCGUGGGUGCUAACGUGGGGGAACUUACGCUAAUACCGCAUACGACCUACGGGUGGAAUCAUGGGACCUUCGGCCCUUGCGCGAUUGAAUGACCCUAUGUCGGAUUAGCUAGUUGGCGGGGUAAAGGCCCACCAAGGCGACGAUCCGUAGCUGGUCUGAGAGGAUGAUCAGCCACACUGGAACUGAGACACGGUCCAGACUCCUACGGGAGGCAGCAGUGGGGAAUAUUGGACAAUGGGCGCAAGCCUGAUCCAGCCAUACCGCGUGGGUGAAGAAGGCCUUCGGAUUGUAAAGCCCUUUUGUUGGGAAAGAAAAGCAGCAGGUUAAUACCUCGCUGUUCUGACGGUACCCAAAGAAUAAGCACCGGCUAACUUCGUG